AAUAAUUGUGUUUGCUCGCAAACGAAAAAAAAAACCGACUUCAAUUACAUCGACAAGUAAUACAACGUAGGUCGACGAAAAAAGCGUCAAGUAAAAACGCAUUAUUAGAUAUAACUCGAAAAGUAGUUGUUAGAUCUCAAAUAAAUUUAAAUGGGACCAAUUGGCACACACCACCUUUCGAUUAAAACAAAAUUUGUCGAAACCGGUCUACCCGGUCAAAAGUUCUGAUGUAACAUACAUAAAAAAAAAAAAAAAAAAAAAAAAUACAGUCGAAUUGAGAACCUCCUCCUUUUUUG
rnacentral:misc_RNA from 1 species